GGGCCCGUAGCUCAAGUGGCAGAGCCACCGGCUCAUAACCGGAAGGUUGGGGGUUCGAGUCCUCCCGGGCCCACCA
rnacentral:tRNA from 1 species